GUGUUUCAGGUGUAGAGAGGAGAGUGAACAGGGAGUGGGGCUUUUGUCUGUUGGUCUCCCUGGACUGAAGAGAGGGAGAAUAGAAGCCCAAGACUAAGAUUCUCAAAAUGGUUUAUUACCCAGAACUCUUUGUCUGGGUCAGUCAAGAACCAUUUCCAAACAAGGACAUGGAGGGAAGGAUUCCUAAGGGAAGACUUCCUGUCCCAAAGGAAGUGAACCACAAGAAGAACGAUGAGACAAACGCUGCCUCCCUGACUCCACUGGGCAGCAGUGAACUCCACUCCCCAAGAAUCAGUUACCUCCACAUUUUUUAA